GCGUUACAGUACACCUCAUCGAUGCUAGCUGGGAACUUCACUCCUUCGCUUUAGGUGUGAUGAAAACAGAGGAGCGUCACUUUGCAGAAGCGUGUGCAAGGCAGUUCCUCGACGUCGCUAAUCAGUGGGGGAUAACUGACAAAAUAAGCACUAUUGGAACAGAUAGCGCUCCUAAUAUGGUGGCAGCAGGGAGGAUACUGCCAUUCGAGCACUUGCCCUGUGUUGCGCAUGUUGUACAGAGAGCUAUUGUAAUGUCACUUCGGGAAGGUGGUUUUGAUGGUGCACUGGCCAAGUGCCGUAAAGUGGUCGGACAUUUCAAACACAGUCCGGCCAACUCAGACGAGCUAAAUGUCCAACAAUCCUCCCUUGGACAAGUUAAGGAGUCACUCGUGCAAGAUGUUCCAACGCGUUGGAAUUCCACUCUCGAGAUGAUAAAGCGCGUGAGGCGCAACAGAGACGCACUGCACACAACGCUGUCUCUGCAGAAGCACAACCUGGCCCUCCCAACAAAUGCGGAUUAUGAGAAGUUGGCAAAGCUAGAGAAACUGCUGGAGCCAUGCAGGUACAUCACUGAGCUCCUUGGUGGAGAUAAGUAUGUAUCCUGCUCUGUGGUUCUACCUGCCCUGUGCCACCUCCAGCACGCGAUGAAC